AAAAAAAGAAAUUCAUGCAUCAUUUUACUCGCAAUGGCUGAUGAACAUCAAUGUCUUUCUGUAUACUGUUAUGUUUUAUUAUGUUGUUUUUAAAGGUCAAUUGGUCUCAAUUUUUGAAACACAUAAAACUGCAUUCCGGUGUCCAUUGAUAGCAGCCUGGUUCAAAAAUUAUUCAGCAAAAACAAUGCCUUUUCCAGUGUAUUUUUUGAAAAGCCCUAUGAUGUUUUUAAGAGACUGUAAACAAGAUGUGUUUAUAGUACAAGAUAGACCAUUAAACCUA
rnacentral:misc_RNA from 1 species